CGUUGUCCGGAUUUAUUGGGCGUAAAGCGAGCGCAGGCGGUUCCUUAAGUCUGAUGUGAAAGCCCACGGCUUAACCGUGGAAGGUCAUUGGAAACUGGGGAACUUUGAGUGCAGAAGAGGAGAGUGGAAUUCCAUGUGUAGCGGUGAGAUGCGUAGAUAUAUGGAGGAACACCAGUGGCGAAGGCGACUCUCUGGUCUGUAACUGACGCUGAGGCUCGAAAGCGUGGGGAGC
rnacentral:rRNA from 1 species